rnacentral:lncRNA from 1 species
CUGAAAUCUCUUCUGCAUUACCAGUUUGAAAAAGUCUUUGUGGCAUGUUUUCCAAGCCACUGUGGUAGCACUAUUGUGACAUGCUGUCUGCAAUUACUCAAGUUUGCUUAAUCAAAGGUCCUUUUUUUUCUAUUUCUUCAUCCACAGACACAAAAGGACCAGGUGAGCUGUGCCUUUCACUAAUCCAAAAGGCUUCAUUUCUUCCUCUUUACUACAAAAUCAUGCAUUCUUUUGAGGGUUGCUGUCAGCUUCGGUGAAACGACUUAAUCAACUUCCCUAAUUUACUUCCUGAUAUCACUAUUUUGUUAGUGAAAGGUUUUGCAGAAGAAACCCUUGGGAACUGUCUCUUGGGGCACACCAGCUUCUGCACUGACAUAUCUUGGCUGGUAGUAGUGUGUUUGGCACGCUGUGAAGAUGAGCUCAAAAUGUUGUUUAUUAUGCAUUUUUAGGGAGGAAAUGUGCAUUCAUUGCACUAAGAGAUGAAGUGGAAAAAUAAUUGCAUUGGAACAGCUACAAAUGACAGGCAAGCAUCUACAAAGUAUGCCACUUUCAUAGCUGUUGUAGGGAAGCAGUGUAGGAUAAAGACCAACCAAGAAUGUCCUUGAAGGCACCCCUUCAAUCCUGGACAGACUUACCUGAAUCCAAAUCCUCUAGCGGUCACGGAAAGUGUUCCAUAUUUCAAAAAUACUCAACAAAAGGAUUUCUCUUGGUGUUAUUUCUCCCGUCAUCUACAACAUUUUCUGGUGCCAUGACUCGGAUCAAGAGGUCAAAGGUGAGAGAAGCCGAGAGAGAGAAUUUUGAGAUCGGGAACACCUUCAGGAGUCAGCCACGCCAGCAUCCAACCAGCGACUGA